CAUGCAGGCAGCGUUAAUCAUCGCCCCAAGAGUCGUGCCAUGCACUUAGAUAGCUGUUCUAUAAAGUUUGCGUGGAUGCAUCACAAUAGUUCUUUCCUGUAUUGGUUAAUUAUUGAUAACUGUUUUGUUGGAAAGUGAUGGCAUUAUUGACGGACUAUUGUUUUAGAAUCUGCCUGAUAAGAAUCAAGCCGCUUUGAGCAACAGACGCAGACGAUCAGAAAUACAGCUCAACCGUUCUAACAUAUCGCCAGCGAGGACCGCGGGAAACGGUCAUUCCGCAAGGUGUCGCCUGUUCAACAUUGUCGUCUGCUUCGAGACAGUUCGUCAAGUCGUACAGACAGGUUGAUGGUGUGUUUAGCUUCGAGACUGUUUUAUCUGGCAGAAUAAGAAGACAAUUAGGAUUUCUUGUGAAAUAAUCACAAUUUACAUCUACCAUAUUUGGAAUUGGCAGAAAACGGUGAACGUGUCUCAGAUACUGUGUACGUCAGUACUUCUCUCUGGGCUGCUGACAGUAGUGAUUGAUGCAAAGCUUUCAUCGACAGUUUAUCUUCUGCCGGACACAGCGGAGUCACACGCCUGAAUUCUGUCAUCAUUCAGCCGGGGGACUUACUUUCUCACAUCGUGCCGUCCAGUGUACCGACUGACCAACGUUGACCAACACACACAGAUAAGUCAGCUGACGCCGUCAUCUGGGAUGAGCCAGCCUCCCCGCCUCUCCAAGCGCCGUCCGCCAUCAUAUACAGAUGUUUACUCAGAUGAAGACAGUUGAAGUCCUCCUUAUGUUCACCGUUAUUGCCUUGGACAUCACGACAGCAAGACGGUAUCGCUAUUGUUCGGAAGGGUGUUGUAUUCACGAGUACUGCGCAUACCACAAGAUCUGCUAUCCCAAGACGCAUUGCAACUUCGGUUGCCCGGAUGGAACUUGUGUAGACGGGAUCUGUAUGCCUUACCAAGUGUGCAACCUCAGCACAUCGUGCCCCAUGGCACAUAUCUGCACCUACCACCACAACCUGGGCUACGACGUGUGCCAGUACAACCUCGACAUCGGCAAUACGUUAUGUGUCGACCGCUAUGGAAAGUCUCUUCUGAAACCGAUGAACUAGUUGACGUGUCCAUUCAUAAACUAUUUAUUUUGUUUAAACGGAGUGAAAUGUGUAAUAAAGAAUCUUUUGUGACA